ACACGGGUGGCUGCAGUGGGGAAUAUUGCGCAAUGGGCGAAAGCCUGAACCAGCCAAGUAGCGUGAAGGAUGACUGCCCUAUGGGUUGUAAACUUCUUUUAUAAAGGAAUAAAACGAGGCACGUGUGCCUUUUUGCAUGUACUUUAUGAAUAAGGAUCGGCUAACUCCGUGCCAGCAGCCGCGGUAAUACGGAGGAUCCGAGCGUUAUCCGGAUUUAUUGGGUGUAAAGGGAGCGUAGAUGGGUUGUUAAGUCAGUUGUGAAAGUUUGCGGCUCAACCGUAAAAUUGCAAUUGAUACUGGCAGUCUUGAGUACAGUUGAGGUAGGCGGAAUUCGUGGUGUAGCGGUGAAAUGCUUAGAUAUCACGAAGAACCCCGAUUGCGAAGGCAGCUUACUAAACUGUGACUGACAUUGAUGCUCGAAAGUGUGGGUAUCAAACAGGAUUAGAUACCCUUGUAGUC
rnacentral:rRNA from 1 species